UAUUAUUUUCAAUAAAAUUAAAUUUAAACCAAGGUAGUAAUAGAUAUAGGCUAAAAACUUAAAAAAUUUGGCGGUGUUUUAGUCUUUUCAGAGGAAUCUGUUCUGUAAUUGAAAGUACACGAUAAUAAAUACUUGAUUUAGGAAGGUUUGUAUACCGCCGUCGUAAGAAUAUUUUAAGGAGAAAAUUAAAUUUCGGAAUAAAAGAAUAAUUUUUAUGUCAGGUCAAGGUGCAGUUUAUAAUUAAGAAGAAAUGGAUUACAAUAUAUUAUAAAUAUACGGAAUAAGCAAAAAAAAAUUAGGAAGGUGGAUUUGAUUGUAAAUUAAUUGUUAUAAUUAAUUGAUUAGAGCUCUAGAACAUGUACAUAUUGCCCGUCGCUCUCGUUUAUAAUGAG
rnacentral:rRNA from 1 species